GAUGAACGCUGGCGGCGUGCCUAAUACAUGCAAGUCGAGCGAACAGACGAGGAGCUUGCUCCUCUGACGUUAGCGGCGGACGGGUGAGUAACACGUGGAUAACCUACCUAUAAGACUGGGAUAACUUCGGGAAACCGGAGCUAAUACCGGAUAAUAUAUUGAACCGCAUGGUUCAAUAGUGAAAGACGGUUUUGCUGUCACUUAUAGAUGGAUCCGCACCGCAUUAGCUAGUUGGUAAGGUAACGGCUUACCAAGGCAACGAUGCGUAGCCGACCUGAGAGGGUGAUAGGCCACACUGGAACUGAGACACGGUCCAGACUCCUACGGGAGGCAGCAGUAGGGAAUCUUCCGCAAUGGGCGAAAGCCUGACGGAGCAACGCCGCGUGAGUGAUGAAGGUCUUCGGAUCGUAAAACUCUGUUAUUAGGGAAGAACAAAUGUGUAAGUAACUAUGCACGUCUUGACGGUACCUAAUCAGAAAGCCACGGCUAACUACGUG
rnacentral:rRNA from 1 species